rnacentral:lncRNA from 1 species
CAGGACUGUACAUUUUCAGACUUUUGGUGGUAAAUAAGACUGACCAAUGUGACUGUCUAUAAUGACUUUCCAAUUGGCCCUGAAGUUCUAGCAUGUGACUGCUUCACUCCUGGACUCUGACUUUCAGUGAGAGAUGGAAGUUUUUCAGAGAACUGAACUGUGGGAAAAUGACCUUUCCUUAACCUGAUGCUACUUUUAAAAUCUGAGGGUCUGGACCAAAAGGAAUAUCAGCUUUGGAGUCAAGACAAACAGACAUGGGGAGAGUAACAACUAACUCCAAAGAUGGCUUCACUGAAGAGAAAACGUUUUAAGAUUUAAAAAAAAAUCUUGUCAGAAGAUACUGGAAAAGUUCUAAUUUUCGUUAGCAGUUAAUAAGUUAGUUAUUCAUGCAGAACUGUAUACAACAGAACACUGCUCCUUUUAUUUUAUUUGUACUUUUGGCCUGGGAUAUGGGUUUUAAAUGGACAUUGUCUGUACCAGCUUCAUUAAAAUAAACAAUAUUUGUAAAAACCUUUUAAAAAGAUGUAUGUGUGGAAG